GAGUUUGAUCCUGGCUCAGAACGAACGCUGGCGGCGUGCCUAACACAUGCAAGUCGAACGUGAUCCAGAGCUUGCUCUGGUGAAAGUGGCGCACGGGUGAGUAACGCGUGGAUAACCUACCCUGGUAUCCGGGAUAACAUUCCGAAAGGGGUGCUAAUACCGGAUAAGCCCACGGGCUCUUUGGAGCUUGCGGGAAAAGGUGGCCUCUAUUUAUAAGCUACUGUAUCAGGAUGGGUCCGCGUACCAUUAGCUAGUUGGCGGUGUAACGGACCACCAAGGCGACGAUGGUUAGCUGGUCCGAGAGGAUGAUCAGCCACACUGGAACUGAGACMCGGUCCAGACUCCUACGGGAGGCAGCAGUGGGGAAUUUUGCGCAAUGGGGGAAACCCUGACGCAGCAACGCCGCGUGAGUGAUGAAGGCCUUUGGGUCGUAAAGCUCUGUCAGAGGGGAAGAAAUGAUAUAGUGCUAAUACCACUUUAUCUUGACGGUACCCUCAAAGGAAGCACCGGCUAACUCCGUGCCAGCAGCCGCGGUAAUAC
rnacentral:rRNA from 1 species